AUAAGUGCAUUUUAUUAUGUGCAAACUGCCAUAGAGAAGUGCACGAAGGCAUUACGCAGCUUCCUCAAGUAAUUGGGGUUGAAAAACAAGGUGAAUUGCUGGAAGCCUAAUCCUUUGAAAAAGGUAUGGUAAUCAGCAGCCAAGCCUUCGCUAAAGCUACGGCUUUGCAAAGCAAUCCUUUGUAGAGUCGCGGCUGCGAAGGAAGGUUCAGAGACUAUCCUUUUCAGGAGUACUGUUUCGCAUUCUGCGGAAUGGGAAGCGCCUUGUCCCGCAGUAUUGCGGGAAUGAUAUAGUCCACUCUUUCUGGAAACAGAGAG
rnacentral:ncRNA from 1 species